rnacentral:rRNA from 1 species
CCCUUAGAUGUCCUGGGCCGCACGCGCGCUACACUGAACGGAUCAGCGCGUUUUCCCUUCCCGAGAGGGACGGGUAACCUGCUGAACCCCGUUCGUGGUAGGGAUCGGGGCUUGCAAUUAUUCCCCGUGAACCAGGAAUGCCCAGUAAGUGCAAGUCAUAAGCUUGCGUUGAUUACGUCCCUGCCCUUUGUACACACCGCCCGUCGCUACUACCGAUUGAACGUUUUAGUGAGGUACUCGGACUGAGCCUCAGAAGAUUCACGUCUUUUGUGCUGCUCGGGAAGAUUCCCAAACUUGAGUGUUUAGAGGAAGUAAAAGUCGUAACA